UCGUCUAGCUGGUUAGGACGCCGCCCUGACGCGGCGGAGGUCCUGGGUUCGAAUCCC
rnacentral:tRNA from 1 species